rnacentral:lncRNA from 1 species
UGCCCCGGCACGCCAGGAAACAGAUGGGGUCCCCAGGGCUGAGGAAAGGUGCCGGCACAGGACGGCAGGGGCAAGACACCAGCAGAGGAGGCAGAGAAAUGCCGGCUCAAGACGAGGCGGAGCGGCCAGGGAGGGAGAGCGGGGUGGGAGGGCCCCCCACCGCCCCAGAGGGACUGGGGCAGGGUCUCUCCCAGGAGACAGAGGGACACAAAGGCAGGGCGGGGUCCUGAUGACCCACCAGCGCUACUUUGAAGCUCCAGCAUUUAACAUCUCCUGAGCAGCCCGCUCCCCAAACGCGAGGAUUAGGAAACAGGAGAAAAUCCAGGGUGGUCAAGACCUGUGUACAUUUCAAGUCUCAAUGACAUGCUCCUGCGCGGCACCUGACACAGGAGCCACCUGCACACGGCGCGACGCCCGGCAGCAUUUGUGCAACCCCACCUCCGAUCCCCCCCCCCCACCCGGGCUCCCCGAGGUGGCCGCCCCCAGGGUAGGGAGGUCUGGUCGGCUCGGGGUUCCCGCACAGACAGACGGAGCAUCGAGACGUGCCAGGCGGCCAAUGAGAAGCACGGAGAGCAGCCGGCGAGUUUCAGGAAGCUCGCCUCCAAGAACCACUCUAGGACUUUCACACUCUGUCCUUCAGGGACCCGAACGUGGACGGCCGAGACGGGAGGGGCUGCCCGCAGCUCUGGCAGAGGGGGCGAGAAGAGGCGGCCGGGGGAGUCGACAAACUCCCCCGACGCCUCCGAAGGAAGCUAUAAUUUGAGAACGAGGGGUCAUCCGCUCCUGCAUGGCGGCAAUCAAAGCUCAGAGGAGUCAGCGAAGGAGCCCGUGUGGGGGGCUUCCUCCAGCCUGGGGCCAGUCGGGGACCCUGCUGUCACGACAGAGGGGUGGGGCAGGUGUCCUCAGACCCUAAGACAGUGCUGGCCCCCAGAGGAGGUCGUCAAUCAAGGCCAUGGACAGAAACAGACAGAAACACACGGGAAAGGACACAGUGUCUACACAUUACAGGAUCCUGGGGUGCCACCGACCACAACUACCUUUCACUAGUUUCAUAACUCGCGAAACAGUUGCACCCAGAGACACCUAAAUUAUUACAAUAAAUGCAUCUUCUCUCCCA